rnacentral:rRNA from 1 species
CAUGCAAGUCGAGCGAGAAAGUGACUUCGGUUGCGAGUAAAGCGGCGAACGGGUGAGUACAACGUGGAUAAUCUACCCUAAGGUCCGGGACAACCCCGAGAAAUCGGAGCUAAUACCGGAUAAGACCACAGUAUCCAAGGAUACAGCGGUAAAAGAUUUAUCGCCUUUGGAUGAGUCCACGUCCCAUCAGGUAGUUGGUAAGGUAAAAGCUUACCAAGCCUAAGACGGGUAGCCGGCCUUAGCGGGUGAACGGCCACAUGGGGACUGAGACACGGCCCUGACUCCUACGGGAGGCAGCAGUGGGGAAUAUUGGGCAAUGGGCGAAAGCCUGACCCAGCGAUGCCGCGUGAGGGAUGAAGGCCUUCGGGUCGUAAACCUCUGUCAGGAGGGACGAUGGGACACUUGUGUCUUGACGGUACCCCCAGAGGAAGCCCCGGGUAACUCCGUGCCAGCAGCCGCGGUAAUACGGAGGGGGCAAGCGUUGCUCGGAAUUACUGGGCGUAAAGGGUCCGCAGGCUGUCAGGCAAGUUGGUUGUGAAAGCUCAAGGCUUAACCUUGGAAUUGCAUCCAAAACUGCCUGACUAGAGUCCAAGAGAGGUUGGCGGAAUUCCCGGUGUAGCGGUGAAAUGCAUAGAUAUCGGGAGGAACACCAGAGGCGAAGGCGGCCAACUGGCUUGGAACUGACG